UACGAAGGGGGCUAGCGUUGCUCGGAAUCACUGGGCGUAAAGGGUGCGUAGGCGGGUCUUUAAGUCAGGGGUGAAAUCCUGGAGCUCAACUCCAGAACUGCCUUUGAUACUGAAGAUCUUGAGUUCGGGAGAGGUGAGUGGAACUGCGAGUGUAGAGGUGAAAAUUCGUAGAUAUUCGCAAGAACACCAGUGGCGAAGGCGGCUCACUGGCCCGGUACUG
rnacentral:rRNA from 1 species